rnacentral:pre_miRNA from 1 species
GGGCCAAUUUCGAAGUACAGUUGAAUAGUAGGAUCAGUUGACCUUACUAAUCUACCUUACUUCGAAUUUGGACCC